rnacentral:sRNA from 1 species
UUGGGAGCUCACUGGCUUCGGGUUCCGUCGGAACUCCGAAGUUAAGCGAGAAGGGGGCUAGAGCACUCCCAGGAUGGGUGACCCACUGGGAAGUUGCUCGUGAGUUCCCAGAAACAAAACCGUGAGGGCGUGGUCGGGGCCCAAAGCGGACAAUAUCGUGCUACGGUGGUGGAGCGGGCCCGGGAAGUGAUCCGCAUUGGGCCGGGAUGUGACAAUUUGGUAUCAGAGCCUAACCCUGGCCGUGGUGUGCCGACGAGGACGUCGGGCCCCUAAGGGGGGUGGAUUGUAACAUCCCACAUCGCCCAGGGGAGCGAUCCUUAAAUGUGUAUUCCCAUCCCUACCUAGCACGAGGCCUUUUGGGAGCUCACUGGCUUCGGGUUCCGUCGGAACUCCGAAGUUAAGCGAGAAGGGGGCUAGAGCACUCCCAGGAUGGGUGACCCACUGGGAAGUUGCUCGUGAGUUCCCAGA